ACGCUGGCGGCGUGCCUAAUACAUGCAAGUCGAACGGUCUUUCUAUGGAAGCUUGCUUCCACUGAGAAGAUAGUGGCGAACGGGUGAGUAACACGUGGGUAACCUGCCCAUAAGAGGGGGAUAACAUCCGGAAACGGUGCUAAUACCGCAUAGUUUUCUUGAUCGCAUGAUCGGGAAAGGAAAGACGGCCUUUGUGCUGUCGCUUAUGGAUGGACCCGCGGCGUAUUAGUUAGUUGGUGAGGUAACGGCUCACCAAGACGAUGAUACGUAGCCGACCUGAGAGGGUGAUCGGCCACAUUGGGACUGAGACACGGCCCAAACUCCUACGGGAGGCAGCAGUAGGGAAUCUUCCGCAAUGGACGAAAGUCUGACGGAGCAACGCCGCGUGAGUGAAGAAGGUUUUUCCGGAUCGUAAAACUCUGUUGUCAGAGAAGAACAAGUUGGAGAGUAACUGCUCCAGCCUUGACGGUAUCUGACCAGAAAGCCACGGCUAACUACGUGCCAGCAGCGGC
rnacentral:rRNA from 1 species